rnacentral:RNase_P_RNA from 1 species
CCAGUUGACCGGGUGGCCGCUCCGCACGAGGCGACUUUUGCGGGGAGGAAAGUCCGGGCUCCAUCGAAAUACGGUGCCGGCUAACGGCCGGCGGGGGCGACCCCAGGGAAAGUGCCACAGAAAGCAAACUACCCUGCUUCGGCAGGGAAAAGGUGAAAGGGUGCGGUAAGAGCGCACCGCGGACCCGGCAACGGGGACGGCACGGCAAACCCCACCGGGAGCAAGACCAAAUAGGGAUGACGCGGGGCAACCCGGCCGGUUUCGAGGCAGUCAUCCGGGUUGGUUGCAUGAGGCCCCUGGUGACAGGGUUCCCAGAUGAAUGGUCACCACGCGGGAGCGAUCCCGCCCUACAGAACCCGGCUUACAGGUCAACUGGCGUC